UAGGGAAUCUUCCACAAUGGGCGCAAGCCUGAUGGAGCAACGCCGCGUGUGUGAUGAAGGGUUUCGGCUCGUAAAACACUGUUGUAAGAGAAGAAUGACAUUGAGAGUAACUGUUCAAUGUGUGACGGUAUCUUACCAGAAAGGAACGGCUAAAUACGUGCCAG
rnacentral:rRNA from 1 species